AUACGGAGGGUCCAAGCGUUAUCCGGAAUCAUUGGGUUUAAAUGGUUCGUAGGCGGGUCAAUAAGUCAGAGGUGAAAUCUUGCAGCUUAACUGUAAAAUUGCCUUUGAAACUGUUGACCUAGAAUUACUGUGAAGUGGUUAGAAUAUGUAGUGCAGCGGUGAAAUGCUUAGAGAUUACAUAGAAUACCGAUUGCGAAGGCAGAUCACUAACAGUAUAUUGACGCUGAUGAACGAAAGCGUGGGUAGCGAACGGGAUUAGAAACCCCGGUAGUCC
rnacentral:rRNA from 1 species